rnacentral:rRNA from 1 species
GACAGAGGGGGCAAGCGUUGCUCGGAAUCACUGGGCGUAAAGGGCGCGUAGGCGGGAUGGCAAGUCAGUCGUGAAAUCUCUCGGCUCAACCGAGAAACGUCGGCUGAUACUGCCGUUCUUGAGGGAUGCAGAGGAGACUGGAAUUCCUGGUGUAGCGGUGAAAUGCGCAGAUAUCAGGAGGAACACCGAUGGCGAAGGCAGGUCUCUGGGCAUUAACUGACGCUGAGGAGCGAAAGCAUGGGGAGCGAACAGG